GUAUGGGGAGCUUGACGGAUUUUCCAAACAGGCUGAGAGGAAGGUAUGUCCUUCGACCCGUUAACCUGAUGUGGAUAAUGCCAACGUAGGGAUAAGUCAGAAAU
rnacentral:ncRNA from 1 species